CCAGACUCGGUCCAGGGCCGGAACUGGGUCCGACUUGGAAACCAGACCAGUUCCGGGGUCAGACUGGGUCCUACUUAGAAACCAGAGCCGCUCCAGGUCAGACCCCGUAGGAGUUAAGCUGGACUGGGGCCUAAGUGAGGCGUCAGUUUCUGGUGACCAGGAUGAGACCCGCUGAAACACAAGACUCACUCCAGAGCCCACAGAAUCCUGGGAAAUGGCAGAAGCCAGCAAAAGGGACCUUCAAGGAGGAGGAUGAGUAGGUGUUUGGAUUCAGAGACCAAAACCACCCAAAAUCCCAUUGUCAAAAACAGCUUGAGCUGAGUCUUAAACGGUGUAUUCAUGUAUAUCACCAAAGGAGAUAAUAUUCUCAACAUGGCAAUGCACUACAGAAUCUGGAAAUGGAAUAAGAAGCCAUUGAAGUAGUUGGAAAGCCUUUAAGUUCAGCUAGAACAAGGAGCUCUAUCUACUGGACGGACAAGGCUCCUGGCAAGUAGUCCUGUCAGUUUGACAGAUCCGACAGACCCCUACAGAUCCAGGUCCCUGAAGAGGCCGCCAGAGAUGCCCUGGGAAAAUGAUUCCUCUCUCUCCAAGGCUAAACCUUUGAUAAAAAUGGUAUAUUUUAUUUCCUGUGGCUGCUGUAACAAAUUACUACAAACUUGGUGGCCUAAAACAACUGAACCUUAUU